UACGGAGGGGGCUAGCGUUGUUCGGAAUCAUUGGGCGUAAAGGGCGCGUAGGCGGCCGAUCAAGUCGGAGGUGAAAUCCCUCGGCUCAACUGAGGAAUUGCCUUCGAUACUGUUCGGCUUGAGUCCUGGAGAGGGUAGCGGAAUUCCCGGUGUAGCGGUGAAAUGCGUAGAUAUCGGAAGGAACAUCAGUGGCGAAAGCGACUUCCUGGACCAGUACCGACGUUCAGGCACGAAAGCGUGGGGAGCAAACAGG
rnacentral:rRNA from 1 species